GCGUGACGUCAGAGAACAAUGACACCGCCGGGGGGCGGGUACCCGGAGGCAGCACGGGCGGGGGUCUCCCCCGGGAACUGAGACUAGCGGAAGAUGUCCAGGACAGGCUAGGGCCAUUGCCUGAUUGACGAGGCCCGCCUGGGAGCGCGGACGUGCCACGCAGACUCGAGGAUCGUCCAGGCCUCCUGGGCAGUGAUCAGCGCCGACCCUGGGCCAGCGUGAGGAGCAGGCCAGAGUACCCUCCCCCCUCACCCUACUUAAAAAACAUCCUUCAGUGGGCAUCUCUGACCUCGGCUUGAACUCCUUCAGGGCCGGCUAGAUCACUCCUUCCACCACCGAGGGAAAGGAAGCAAAAUGAAUUUGCCGGCCCUGAAUUCAUUCUCAAGGCUUCGCUAGUCUGACAGCCCGUGAACUCAGCUUGGAUUCCUGAGGGCUCAGAGGGCUGCAGCUGAGGUCCACAGGGGCCUGGGAGGGGAUGCUGGGAACCUGCGUGAUACUCCCAAGGGUAAUUCUGCCGCCCCGAGGCCAGUAGGUGCACGGGAAGGCGCUCCUUGCCAGGGCCUCAGUCUUUAGACCUGUCACAUGGACUGUUACCAAGCUGCCGUUUCUGCACAGGUGGCAGAUGUGUACCCUUGGGGAAGGUGGAUGGCAUGAGAACCUUCCAGACCUCUCAGGACACCAGAGGAGCAUGCUCUCAGAGCCAGAAAGGGGCUUCUGAGAUCAUCGAAGCGAGAACCCCUAGGUCUCCUUCUUCUCAGGAGGCAACUGCCUCUGCUUGCAUCCUUCUGGGAAUGGGGAGCUUGCUCCCUCACUUGGCAGACACUGUGCAGUGAUGUGCUGGUAAGUGUUUAACAUCUGGCUCUCCAAAAUGGGGAAGACCUGAUAGAUAGCGUUUGCCGAUUUCCAUUGUAUAAAUACUCCCCCUGUGGCCAAGGUCAAGCUGCUGACUUCACAACACCCAGCUCCCACAGUUCCAGAAAAUUUAGCCAUCAGCUCUUGUGAGCCAGUCCCAGCCGGCUCCAGCACACCACUGGCCUGCCCCACAGAGGAGCCCUGUCCAGCUUUACGCCUUGGGAAGUUCUUCCUGGCACCUGCUAGAUGCUACGGCCCUAGUCACUCGUGUCUUUGCUCACACCGGCCUCUCCAGCCUGAAAGUCUUCCUGCUCGGCCUGCCCACCUAGGAGGCUGUGCUCAGAUGUCAUCUGCUCUCAAAAGCCCGCCCUGCCCGCCACCGCUUCCCCUCCUGGGGCAGGCAGGCGCCCGCCCUCCUACAGCCUUUCUCAGUCCCUGUUUGCCACUUAUCACUUUCUACCUUGGAUUACAGCUAUCUGUGUACUCGGCUUAUCUCUCUGCCAGACUGAGAGGCAGCGGGCUUGCCGAAAGAGUGUGGACUUUGGAGCCCCGCGACCUGGCGCUGAAUCCCAGCCUUGCCACUUACAGCUGUGAGCCCUAAGGAACCUCCUACCACCUUCUGAAGGCUCAACUUCUCUAUCUGUAAAGUGGGGCUGGCCAUCACUCCUUCCAAGGUGGUCUGACUGUUAAGUGGGAUAAGAAAUGGAACUUCCCUUUCCUGUUCCUGUCUGGGACUCCCAUCUCUAGGGGACAGAGAUUGUGUCUGGUGCUUCUGUGUGUUCUCUGGUUAUGACAGCAGUAUAAAUAUUAACAACAAUGGUAAAUACAUAUA